rnacentral:rRNA from 1 species
UGCCCUAGUAACGGCGAGUGAAGCGGCAACAGCUCAAAUUUGAAAUCUGGCCUCGGCCCGAGUUGUAAUUUGCAGAGGAUGUUUCUGGCGCGGUGCCUUCCGAGUUCCCUGGAACGGGACGCCACAGAGGGUGAGAGCCCCGUAUGGUUGGACACCAAGCCUGUGUGAAACUCCUUCGACGAGUCGAGUAGUUUGGGAAUGCUGCUCUAAAUGGGAGGUAAAUCUCUUCUAAAGCUAAAUACCGGCCAGAGACCGAUAGCGCACAAGUAGAGUGAUCGAAAGAUGAAAAGCACCUUGAAAAGGGGGUUAAACAGUACGUGAAAUUGUUGAAAGGGAAGCGCUCAUGACCAGACUUGUGCCGGGCGGUUCAUCCGGGGUUCUCCCCGGUGCACUCCGCCCGGUUCAGGCCAGCAUCGGUUCUCGUUGGGGGAUAAGAACGGUAGGAACGUGGCCCUCCCUCGGGAGGGUGUUAUAGCCUGCCGUACGAUACCCUGAUGGGGACCGAGGUUCGCGCUCCGCAAGGAUGCUGGCGUAAUGGUCAUCAGCGACCCGUCUUGAAACACGGACCAAGGAGUCGUCCAUUAGAGCGAGCGUUUGGGUGUAAAACCCGCACGCGUAAUGAAAGUGAAAUUAGGUGAGAGCUUCGGCGCAUCAUCGACCGAUCCUGAUGUUCUCGGAUGGAUUUGAGUAAGAGUUUUAACGGACGGACCCGAAAGACAGUGAACUAUGCUUGUAUAGGGUGAAGCCAGAGGAAACUCUGGUGGAGGCUCGCAGCGGUUCUGACGUGCAAAUCGAUCGUCAAAUAUGAGCAU